rnacentral:rRNA from 1 species
UUAUGGCUCAGGAUGAACGCUAGCGACAGGCUUAACACAUGCAAGUCGAGGGGCAGCAUAAAAGUAGCAAUACUUGGUGGCGACCGGCGCACGGGUGAGUAACGCGUAUGCAACCUACCUAUCAGAGGGGAAUAACCCGGCGAAAGUCGGACUAAUACCGCAUAAAACAGGGACACCGCAUGGUGAUAUUUGUUAAAGAAAUUCGCUGAUAGAUGGGCAUGCGUUCCAUUAGGUAGUUGGUGAGGUAACGGCUCACCAAGCCGACGAUGGAUAGGGGAACUGAGAGGUUGGUCCCCCACACUGGUACUGAGACACGGACCAGACUCCUACGGGAGGCAGCAGUGAGGAAUAUUGGUCAAUGGGCGAGAGCCUGAACCAGCCAAGUCGCGUGAAGGAAGAAGGAUCUAUGGUUCGUAAACUUCUUUUGCAGGGGAAUAAAGUGCAGGACGUGUCCUGUUUUGUAUGUACCCUGAGAAUAAGGAUCGGCUAACUCCGUGCCAGCAGCCGC